AUUGAACGCUGGCGGCAGGCCUAACACAUGCAAGUCGAGCGAGCGGCGGCCGGGUGAGUAAUGUAUGGGGACUGCCCGAUAGAGGGGGAUAACUACUGGAAACGGUGGCUAAUACCGCAUACUGUCGUAUAACCCAUAUGGGAUUAGCUAGUGGGUAAGGUAAUGGCUUACCUAGGCAACGAUCCCUAGCUGGUCUGAGAGGAGGAUCAGCCACACUGGGACUGAGAAACGGUCCAGACUCCUACGGAGGCAGCAGUGGGGAAUAUUGGACAAUGGGCGAAAGCCUGAUGCAGCCAUGCCGCGUGUGUGAAGAAGGCCUUAGGGUUGUAAAGGACUUUCAGUCGGGAGGCGUUACCGACAGAAGAAGCACCGGCUAACUCCGUGCCAGCAGCCGCGGUAAUUC
rnacentral:rRNA from 1 species